rnacentral:rRNA from 1 species
CCGAUACCUAGUAUGGGGGGGGAAAGCACGGGGAAACUCGUAUUAAUACCGCAUACGACCUACGGGAGAAAGGCGUUGCAGUUUACUGCUCUCGCUAUUAGAUGAGCCUAAGUCGGAUUAGCUAGAUGGUGGGGUAAAGGCCUACCAUGGCGACGAUCUGUAGCUGGUCUGAGAGGAUGAUCAGCCACACCGGGACUGAGACACGGCCCGGACUCCUACGGGAGGCAGCAGUGGGGAAUAUUGGACAAUGGGGGAAACCCUGAUCCAGCCAUGCCGCGUGUGUGAAGAAGGCCUUUUGGUUGUAAAGCACUUUAAGCAGUGAAGAAGACUCCAUGGUUAAUACCCAUGGACGAUGACAUUAGCUGCAGAAUAAGCACCGGCUAACUCUGUGCCAGCAGCCGCGGUAAUACAGAGGGUGCAAGCGUUAAUCGGAAUUACUGGGCGUAAAGGGAGCGUAGGUGGCUCUAUAAGUCAGAUGUGAAAUCCCCGGGCUUAACCUGGGAACUGCAUCUGAAACUGUAGAGCUAGAGUAUGUGAGAGGAAGGUAGAAUUCCAGGUGUAGCGGUGAAAUGCGUAGAGAUCUGGAGGAAUACCGAUGGCGAAGGCAGCCUUCUGGCAUAAUACUGACACUGAGGCUCGAAAGCGUGGGUAGCAAACAGGAUUAGAUACCCUGGUAGUCCACGCCGUAAACGAUGUCUACUAGUCGUUGGGUCCCUUGAGGACUUAGUGACGCAGCUAACGCAUAAGUUAGACCGCCUGGGGAAGUACGGCCGCAAAGGUUAAAAACUCAAAAUGAAUUGACGGGGGCCCGCAACAAGCGGUGGGAGCAUGUGGUUUAAUUUCGAAUGCAACGCGAAGAACCUUUACCUGGUUCUUGAACAUAUCUAGGAAUCCUUGCAGAAGAUGGCGGGGAAUGGUCCUUUCGGGGAAAU